AGAUUUUUAAUUGUUACAGCAACCUUGACAAUGUAAUUAUAAAUAGGCGACUAUCUGACCAGAAACGCAUCGUUCUUCAGGAUUUGAACAAAACUCAACAUGAAAUUCUUGGCCCUAUUCGCUUUGCUGUGCGCCGUCCUUGCACUGGUCAGUGGACUUCCAGUCUCGGAGCCCGAACAUGAUAGCACACAUCCCUUGGUCAGAGAAGCUCGAAGCCACAAGGGCAAACAAAGCCAUGGGCAUGGAGGGUACGGCUAUAAGGGUUAAAUAAUCCAUUAUGAAUAGAAUGACGUAAUGGUUUUUUUGUAUUAUACAUUUAAGUUGUUUCAGAAGUAAUACUAAUACACUAUGUAUUCAAAAAUAAAGUUAUAUUUUUACGAGUU